UACGUAGGUGGCAAGCGUUGUCCGGAUUUAUUGGGCGUAAAGAGCGUGUAGGCGGCCAGACAGGUCCGUUGUGAAAACUAGAGGCUUAACCUCUAGACGUCGAUGGAAACCGUUUGGCUAGAGUCCGGAAGAGGAGAAUGGAAUUCCUGGUGUAGCGGUGAAAUGCGCAGAUAUCAGGAAGAACACCCGUGGCUAAGGCGGUUCUCUGGGACGGUACUGACGCUGAGACGCGAAAGCGUGGGGAGCGAACAGGAUUAGAAACCCUAGUAGU
rnacentral:rRNA from 1 species